ACCUACGGGGCGCAGCAGUGGGGAAUAUUGCACAAUGGGGGGAACCCUGAUGCAGCCAUGCCGCGUGUGUGAAGAAGGCCUUCGGGUUGUAAAGCACUUUCAGCGAGGAGGAAAGGUUGAUGCCUAAUACGCAUCAGCUGUGACGUUACUCGCAGAAGAAGCACCGGCUAACUCCGUGCCAGCAGCCGCGGUAAUACGGAGGGUGCAAGCGUUAAUCGGAAUUACUGGGCGUAAAGCGCACGCAGGCGGUUGGAUAAGUUAGAUGUGAGAGCCCCGGGCUCAACCUGGGAAUUGCAUUUAAAACUGUCCAGCUAGAGUCUUGUAGAGGGGGGUAGAAUUCCAGGUGUAGCGGUGAAAUGCGUAGAGAUCUGGAGGAAUACCGGUGGCGAAGGCGGCCCCCUGGACAAAGACUGACGCUCAGGUGCGAAAGCGUGGGGAGCAAACAGGAUUAGAUACCCCUGUAC
rnacentral:rRNA from 1 species